AUUGAACGCUGGCGGCAUGCCUUACACAUGCAAGUCGAACGGUAACGCGGGGCAACCUGGCGACGAGUGGCGAACGGGUGAGUAAUGCAUCGGAACGUGCCCAGUUGUGGGGGAUAACUGCUCGAAAGAGCAGCUAAUACCGCAUACGUCCUGAGGGAGAAAGCGGGGGACCGAAAGGCCUCGCGCGAUUGGAGCGGCCGAUGUCGGAUUAGCUAGUUGGUAGGGUAAAGGCCUACCAAGGCGACGAUCCGUAGCGGGUCUGAGAGGAUGAUCCGCCACACUGGGACUGAGACACGGCCCAGACUCCUACGGGAGGCAGCAGUGGGGAAUAUUGGACAAUGGGCGAAAGCCUGAUCCAGCCAUGCCGCGUGAGUGAUGAAGGCCUUAGGGUUGUAAAGCUCUUUUCACCCACGACGAUGAUGACGGUAGUGGGAGAGAAGCCCCGGCUAACUUCGUG
rnacentral:rRNA from 1 species